UCCCUUACCCCACCUGAGGGAACCUGCCGCAUGCCAGAGCACGUGUGGCAUGGGCAUUCCCUGGGGACAAGCAGCAGCGGCACAAGGUCCUCAGGGAAACAAACAUCCACGCUCGCCUGGACGCACCCCAUGGUUUUAUAUGGACCCUUUCCGUUCUUUUCCGUCUCAUUACAGUUCAUUUAAUUGGCUUGAAUACAAGUAUCAGCACCUCCAGAAAGUUCUUGGUCAGCUCGGCUUACAAGAUGGUUCUGCUCGAGUGUCAAAACGGCAUGGCUUUUACGGAAGCUGAGCUUUUUCAUGAGAGUCACCAACUCAUCGCAUUUCCAAACACUUAAUACUUGCAGAACAGAAUCGUACAUACAUCUGAGCAAGAAUCACCCACUCUAAGGUGCUCUUGGCGAAGAAAUUAUUCCAUUGCAGUUUAGCAUUUAAUGGAGUGAGGCAAAACAUUGUUACUAUCCAAUACUCAUUUAUGCAGCAGAACCUGUCUCUUUCACAUGAACGAGUUUCAUGUUCAGGAAUUAAUGUCUCUUAAGAUAGCACCAAUUCAGGCAUUGAGAGUGCAAGCUCAUCAUUUGACGGCAGAAUUUUGAUUCAAUUGCAGAUGGAGUGAAGGUAAAAAGCAGGGUGAAAUAAAUAAAUGAGCUGGAAUCAGUACUGAAGAGGGGAUGACGGGAGAAAACCCUCUUGUGAUGAUGAAAGAACACAGAGAAGCUAUUCCAAGAGCACUGUACAUCAAUACUGUAGAAAGAAACAUCCCAGUGGUUCCCAGCAGAGGACAGCAAAUCCUAACUCCCUACUUUUCCAUUCAUGCUUCCCCCAGGAAUUGAACACCAACAUUGAGCCUAUAGUAUACAGCAUUCAUUGAACAGGUUUUGUGUAAGAAAAGUGAUGCAUUACAUUUGUUUGUCUUCUGCAACAACACAUACACUGUCAAGGCUCAAGGGGUUCCAACAAUAGUCAGGCCAUCAGGAAAUAAGUCCAUUAAAAGCACAGCCACUCACUGGCUGACUUUCAGCGUGCUGGGAUUUCCCACUGCCUCGAAAAAGAACGCGCUCUGGCAUCCGGCAUCCACAGCCUGCUUUUAAGACAGGAGCACAGAUGAAGAGUAAGAACAGUAAAUUAAUCUGGGAUGUAUUUCCUCCUUGCCCAG